UAUUUUCACUACGCACUCUUUAAUCUCUAUGGGACUAUUACAUCAAUACCGUUAGAGUACAGUGUACAGAUUCUCAAGUAAAGUGAAUACUCAAAGGGACGUUCGUUUUCAUGCGCUAGCCAAGCGGUCUGUGCGCAGUCUGAGAAGGGAUUUUGUUUUCAUUUUGUUAAAGGCUGAAACGGAAAUUCGUUCUCAAACUCAUAAUAAUGUCAAAUAAAAACUAAGUUUAGAAACGACAGUAGUUUUGUUUUUACUAAUCGCAUGUACGAAAGUAUCUCUGAGUGUUUUAUUUACAAUAAUGUCUUUGAAAGAACUGGCAGUGGGGAAAUUGGCAGAGUUUUGAAUCUGUUGUUUGUGGUCUCUAACUUCCUGGUAAUUUGAAGAAUAUCGUAAUAUUGAAUAAUCUGCAGUAAGUGAAAUUUGUACGCGUUUUUGUGUCGUAUAACACCUGGUAUCAAUGGAUGGUGAGUGGAAACCAAAUGAAGAGAGCUUGCAACAACUGUUGGAAAUGGGAAUAUCGAAGGAAGAUGCGGAAGAAGCACUGAGGAACACUGGAAACUCAUCAGUCGUUUUUGCUGCUGAUUAUGCAUUUGCAAAGCAAGAUAAGAUUGACCCAUUUCUGUCUAGAGUAUACCAUAUAUCAGAAGGCUGUAAAAUGGUAUUUGUUGUAAACACUGAUCUUGGCAUGAGCAUAGGGAAAACUGCGGCACAGAUGUCGCAGCCCUCGUGUGUGAUCUGGCAUUGUCUUGCUGAAGGAGAGGGCACUCCAUCUGUGGACGAACUCUUCGAAUUCGAAACUUGAUUAAAGCAUGCUGUGUUUGUCAUGCACCAACAUAGUUACAUUACACACAGCCAUGUUACACGCUACAAUUGGGAGUCCUCUAGCGGCAGAGGGCUGCAAGUUGGGCAUGCAACAUUGGGCCUUUACCAGAAAUUAACAGCUUCACCACAGUAUGCUGAAGAUUUGAUUAAUUGGGAAGAUAACGGUGGAAAAAUGGUCGUCCUUAAGGGUCUUAACUACCAGCACCUGAAAUUGCUAGAAAAAGAGGCUGAGGUGAAUAAACUUCCAGCACACUGUAUUACAGAUGCUGGCCUUACUGAAGUACAGUCUGGUUCAACAACUGUAUUAGCAAUUUUUGGCAAAGAAACUCAAGUUAAUAAUGUUACCGGAGAACUAGCCCUGUUGCAAUAGGGGAAGAAAUGUUACCAUAUUGGCGAAAAACACUUAAAACCAGCUUUGUUAUUGCAGUGCUUGUGUCCAUAGAAAUUGUAUACAUAAAUUAUGUACUAACAAUUUUUUAAAAAAUGAGAUGUUUUUUCUCUCUGCUUGUUUUACAGAUAGUGUAAUACAUGCCAAGAAAUGCACAACGAAAUUGCUUAUUGCAGUGAGUAGUUACAACAUAACUGUAGAUUUAUUGCAAAACAGUUUUUGAUUUUGCGCAUUUGUUUCAAUUUGUUUCAGUGACAAGAUUUUAUGUACACUCAAGUGCUUAAAAUGUACAUUGUUUCUCUUGAACUGUUGUUAGGUUGCUUCAGUUGAUAAGUAUUUCAGCACGACCAAAUGAAGUUUAGGCGUAACCUGUUACUUGUGCAAUAUUUAUAUUUUGAUAUUGAACUGCCAAAUAUCAUUGUCCAUACAAACCUGAGAGAAUUUGGUUGAAGUAGCUGUUUAAUACUUGUAUAUAAACUUGUAACUUAAUAUUUAAUCCAUGAUGUUGGUUCUACAAAGACUAUGUUAUGUGUUAAGCUCUAUGAUUGCAAGACAAAGAAAUGAAGCACAGGGAGGAAAAACAAAAGCUAGAAGUUAAAUGCGAGGACUUCUGUUGCUUCGUUAUCUUAUUUGUGCUUAUAGAGGUAGUUUUCCGUGACAUGUUGAGUGGUUUCUGUUCGUUACACUAUGAAUUCAAGAAUAAGCAAAAACAGAUCCUCACUGUUAUUUUUAUUUGUCUAUACUGCAUUGUAUAUGAAAAAGAUGCUGCCAAGGUGCUAUCAGAUAGUGUUGACUGUUAAGUAUUUAAUGCCAGUGAUAUAGUAACAGAGUGAUAUAGAAGGCAGCACAAGCAUAUCAUGUAGAACUCUGUUGUUAAAGCAAGAAGACAUUAGCCAUAUUUUAUGAAACCUGUAUCAGUGAUGUGAGAUAGUUAUAUUUAUGUAUAAAAGGUUUUCCCUCAUUUAGUGAAGUUAAUGGAUACUACAGUUUCGAUCAUGACAUUUGAACAGUUUUAUUUUUACAAGGUUUUACUGUUGUUUUAUGUUGUUUAGGCAAGUCUUAUAAAGCAUUAUCAUGCUGACUUUGUACCUCAGUAAACUCUUUGCACAGAUGUGUAGGAGUUAAUAACAUAAAUUAACAAUAAACACAUACUUCUUUAGCAGAAUUUUGAGUUUUUGUACUCUGUCUCUCCUGUUAUGCAAGAAUGUAAGUCUUAAUAGUGGACUCACAAACAUACAGAAAAUUGGGUGAUUUUUACUACUUCGUGUCAUUGGAAAUUUCUGUUGUAGAAUGAGAAUGACAUUCAAUAAAAAUUAG